AAGGCCAAGCAAACAUUCUGAUAUAAGCUUUCCUCCGGAAUUUAAUCACGAUAAUAAAACAUUCUGAAAGAAAAGGACAGAAAGCUAUAGUCUUAUAAUGGCCAUUUACCACUAUCUUCGAGAAGCCACAACUCAUACACAUGAAGAAAGAGAAUUUAUAUAAAAAACAGAGCCAUCAAUGCCAGAACUCGAACUUACCGAAAUAAAA
rnacentral:misc_RNA from 1 species